UUUAGGUGUAGAAGGAAUCUCCUGAAAUUUCUAUUAAGGUGGAUCAUUUACCUUGUGGAAUAGUUGAAGCGAGUUCUGAUAUGGAAUUGAAGCCUCUAUGAUUGACAAGUGGUGAGAAGUUAAAGCUGAGCGGGAAGCAGUGAAUGCCGCAGAAAGAGCAGAAAUGAAACUUCAACUGAGAGAUAAAAACAUGCAAGAUGAGAUGAUAGAUUUGAUGGAUGUGAGCAACGAAAUCCAAGAAUCUCUUAGAAGAAGCUACAGUGUACCCGAUGACAUUGACGAGGAUGAACUUUUGGGUGAGCUUGAUGCUUUGGAAGCGGACAUGGGAACGAAGACAGAAUAUGAGGGCGUGCUGGCGUAUCUUCAAACUGAUAACGAACCAGAUUUGGAUGUUGAACUCAAUUUGCCUUUGGCGCCAUCAGAGCAUGCAGCAGGGCCCAACAGACAGAAUGCCCAGUAAAUUCAUCAUCAGUAAUUU